rfam:Brachypodium distachyon strain Bd21 chromosome 2, whole genome shotgun sequence.
AUAGUACUCACUCCGUGCAAUAAAAAAUGUCUCAAGUUUGUUAAAAUUUGAAUGUAUCUAAAUAUGACUUAGUAUAUAGAUGCAUUUAAAUUUAGUUAAAGUUGAGGCAUCCUCCGUUGGACGGAGGGAGUACGUA